CUCAUGACCUUUGAUUAAGACCCAGUACAUAUAGGACCCGGGGGACGACUAUUACUCUGCUAGAUCGUUGCCUCUCAUGCCUCGUUCCCGCACUACCGUACUCCUAACGUCUACCUCCCGUGUACCGACCAACGCCUGUCUCCCGACCUACCCCAUAACACGGCAGACGCUUAACAGGAGCUAGCACAAGAACAUCUAAUCAUCAGAACUGUUAGAACCAGGAACACCUGUUGUCUGUUCAAGAAAUGAUGACCACACAUGGACACACACAGAUGAACAACAAGUACACUUUGUUUCCAACUGUUUUGCUCGCCUGUCUCCUUUUUGUAACAUCCAUGUAAAUAAGGGGCCUUUUGAAACUAAAUAAAUACAGGUGCUGAGGAGGGAAUAAUCAAAGAAUGCAGUAGUGAAUUGUAUGAGACAGUUCCUCUCAUCUCUCAUCGAGAGACUUGAACUGGUGUCUUUGCUUCCUUUUUUGUCCUGUUUAAUGAAUGUCUAAUUGGUAAAUUGGUAAACCUAACAUUUACUUGGUCCUUCGAGCCAGGCCUCAACAUACCAGAGGUUUCCAGGGGCUGAGUCGACGUCCAGGCAAAGACCAUGGCCACGGCAUUUGUGAACCUUUCCGGGACUGGGUCUCAGCUUUGUGUCUGGAGGCUGAGGUUUGAUGAGAAGCCAAAACAAGGAAGUAAAGACAUCUCUGGAAACUGGAGUGCCCGGAGAAAACCCACACAGGCAUUGGGACAACCUGCAAACUCCACACAGGCGGGUCCAGGAUUGAACCCGGGACCUCAGAACUGUGAGGCCAACGCAUUCCAGCUGCUCCACCGUGCCGCCAAAGAAUAAAUCCUAUUCUUAAAAGCUGUUCCACUUCAAUGUACCACCACUAUUUCAUAAAAACAUUGUAAGCAAUACUGAUUAUAUGAGUUAAUUUUCCUUUUCUUGUUUGUGUACACGACUGAAGAAUGGAGAGAGGACUUGGAAAGUUUGGGGCUUUGCCUAUGCAGGAGUCAAUGAUCCUGUCCCCAAGCUAAGCCCAGAUGCAUUAUGCUAAUGCAACCCCAAGAACAAAUGAACAGUGAAGAACAGAUCAUUGAAAAGGUGAG